CUGGGGUCCGCUUUGGUUCUCUCAUUUGACGUCAUCUUUUUUGGCUUCAUCCAGCAGAUUCACAUUGGUAGAAAUACUUUUCUAUGUUACUUGUAGUCAUGUGAAACCUAAUCUCACCCUUGCAAUCUGGACUGCAUGUUUUAUAGAAUCUAUAUUGUGAUUUUUCAUGUGUAUAUUCCUGUCGUGUUUGUGUGCUAACCAAAACAAGAGCAAAGCAACCCAAAGCCUAAUGGGUAACAAUUUCAAGGGCAAGCACGAAGAUUUCAGCUGGAUACAAACACUGCAUGAUUGAUGGUAGGCUGUGUCAUAUUUACCUGUAGUCAAUUAUGUGUUCCUUUUGCUUUGUAGUGUCUCCUGAGCAACCGCCUUUAUUCACGGUAAACAUAUUUUCUUUAAUUAUUAACAAAAUGCUCUGUGAUAUAUACAUGAUAUGUUAAUCAUUAUGUUGUCAAACCCAUUCAGCAUACGGUGAAAGACAGAGAUCACAUUUCAACUAGAUUCUUAGGAAGUACGGAUUCACUAACUUCCAGUGAAGAGAAAAGCUAUACCUGCUGACAUUACAAUUGUUUUAGAACUUCGACGCCUUUAUGUCAGCGUUGUUACAUUGAGAAUCUUAAUCACAUCUUCUGAUUACCAGAUUGAGUUUCUG
rnacentral:lncRNA from 1 species